UGGGGUUUGGCUUAUUGGUAGAGCACUUGCCUCGCACACAUGAGGCCCUGGGUUCGAUCCUCAGCACCUCAU
rfam:Ictidomys tridecemlineatus contig105967, whole genome shotgun sequence.